UACGUAGGGGGCUAGCGUUGUCCGGAUUUAUUGGGCGUAAAGAGCGUGUAGGCGGCCAGGUAGGUCUGGUGUGAAAACUCGAGGCUUAACCUCGAGAUGUCAUCGGAAACCAUCUGGCUAGAGUCCGGAAGAGGAGAGUGGAAAUUCCUGGUGUAGCGGUGAAAUGCGCAGAUAGUCAGGAAGAACACCAAUGGCGAAAGCAGCUCUCUGGGACGGUACUGACGCUGAGACGCGAAAAGCGUGGGGAGCGAACAGG
rnacentral:rRNA from 1 species